rnacentral:rRNA from 1 species
ACGGAGGGCGCGAGCGUUAAUCGGAAUCACUGGGCGUAAAGCGCGCGUAGGCGGCCGAUCAAGUCAGAGGUGAAAGCCCUCGGCUCAACCGAGGAAUUGCCUUUGAUACUGGUCGGCUGGAGUGCGGGAGAGGGUGGCGGAAUUCCCGGUGUAGGGGUGAAAUCCGUAGAGAUCGGGAGGAACACCAGUGGCGAAGGCGGCCACCUGGACCGCAACUGACGCUGAGGCGCGAAAGCAUGGGGAGCAAACAG